ensembl:lncRNA
CGAGGGGCAGGCAGCCCUGAGGACUCUUAACUGCCUGCACGCUACUAGCUGUCCCGGUCCGCAGCUGGGAGGGAAAAAGAAAGGAGGAAGCCUCACCCAUCAGGUGGCCGGUACUAAGGUGCAGAGAUGCGCUUGGUGCAGAGGGAUGACCUCCUCAUCAUCACGGAGCCCAAGUGCAUGGUCAUGUCUGUCGUUAUCGCCCAUGGAGAGAAGAGGUCUUAAGAUGCACCUGCUGACCUGCUGAUAGUUUGGGGAAAGAAGUGUCUGAUGCUACACUUGCUACAUGGUUGGGGGCUUAUCAAAGCCCCCAUAGGGGAGAGGAGAUCCGCACAGGCGCAGGCGGAAACUAUCAGCUCCUGGGAGAGGACCACGCAGACAGAGUAGGGGAAACAGCCCUGGGGCUCCCACUCAGGAAGCUUUUCUCCUCUCGUUGGUUGAGAACGAAUAGAGUGUAACCAUCACCUGGGACAGUGGGGAAUGUUUUACUCAGUAAGCCCAACAAAGCUUCAAGACAAAAACCCAAAAGACCAAAGUUUGCAAAUGAGUUUCCUGCUAGCCACCUCAAGACACAUAUACUGGUAAGACUUAAAACAUUUCUUUCUCAGCACCUAUAAGAAGCAAAAUGGACAGGGUCUAGCCCCAGCCACCAAAGAAGAAGGGAGAAGGGGUGCUCGUAACGAGGAAAAUAGCAGUCUGUGGGACGUGACCCAGAAGUCCCUGGGUGAUAGAAUCGAUAGGGUUGCUGAUCGUGUUACAGGCACACACGGAGUCUCCAGUCACUGGGAGAAAGAGUGAACGCGUUUAACAGAGACAGGCCUCUGCUUCCCUCUCCCUUCGGGAGUCAGUGUCAGCACCCUAGACACAGCCCUGCCACCUCCCCCAGGGCAGUUCCUGCUGGGUGAAUGUCCAGGCCCUGCCUGCCUCCCCCUGUGACUGUUACCUAAUGCGGUGCACCAGCAAACCCACUAGCAUCCAAGUACAUGGAAGUGAGUGGGUAUUUCUGUGAUCCGAAGUCUCGUUUAAGUGUCCCUUCAUGUUCACCAGUUGAGCAGCAGAAUACCCUAGGAGUGACACAGCAGUGGACCAGAGUAUCUUCAAUGCAGACUGAACUUUGGAAACUAGAAGGCGUUUCAGAGCUUGUUUGCAGCGUUCUGUCAAUUUUCUACUGUACAGCAAGGUGACCCCGUCACACAUACAUGGACUGGGGAUUUGGGGUUAAUGGAGGGAAACUACUGCCUUUGGAACGCAUAAGCAAUGAGACCCGGCUGUAUAGCACUGAGAACUAUGUCUAGUCACUUCUGAUGGAGCAUGAUAAUGUGAGAAAAAAGUCCUUAUAACCUUAAAGGUGAAUUUAUACUAAAACAUUUACUUUUUACCCCUAUAUUUAACUUUCAUUCAUUUCACACCACAUUAUAAAAUGAUAAAUCACUGAAUCCUCUUUAGAUACAGAGGGAGACUGGCGUUCCUCCCCCAGAGGCCUGGUCUAAGGACACGUGUCUGUGAUUCACCGUGCAUCCCUAGGCUUACGAUCACUGACAGUGCACUGAAACGGAGAUGCAGGAAGGACGUGAGGGAUU